GGUGUUGUGGGCAUGGAUCUCCCCCCACAACUCCUAUCAAAUAGGAGCCUGGGGAGGUCUCCAGGACCUCCUUGCAAGGCACCCCUGCCUCCUCAGGUGGUCUCUGGACCAGAAGCCAAGGGGUAUGGGAUUACAGUUGUGAGCCAACCUGCUCCUGUGUCUCAGGAACCAGCUCAUGGAGAAUGACAACACAUUCGAGAUCCAGGCAAUUGUCAUGAAGCGACCUUACGCUGUGGCCAGGAUUGAGAUAACUGCCUUCCUGAAGAAAGAGUGCUACAAGAAGAGACCUGGGCACAGGAACCCCGGGCUGGAAUGGUGACUGCCCUCAGGGGGCUUUGGAAGGAGCUGCUAGUCACCCAGGCCCCCCAGCACUGGGGCAGGGGCAGUGCUGGGGGCGGCCAGAAGCCAGAUCGACCUUUGGCCUGCUUUCCUCUACAACUCUGUCACCCUGGGCCUGCGGCUGUCCGUAGAUUCCGCCAGUCUCUGGACAAGAAGGUCGUGCCCCCACCAGAGAUGAGCUUCAGCAGAGUUCUUCCAGAGGGGUCCCUGUGCCCAGGACCGGAAGGGGACCCCAUCCCAACAAGGGGCAUGUUACUCCAGCCACAGAAACCAUGCCAUGCAGGAGGACCUGCUCUGCCGAUGGAAGUUAUAAGGGCUUCAGUGGCGCUCACUCCGCCAUUGAUCACCCAAGACCAAACGGCUCAGUGCACCCUGGUGAGGACAGCUGUGCACCUCAACCCAACACGGGACUCCGCUGGAGUGCGACUCAUGUGCCAACUGCUAUGCUAAGGACCAGGGGGUAGACAGCAUGGUUCCUUUCCUCAUGGGACUGAACCUUAGUGAGGGUUCAUCGUGGGUCAGUGUUUCUCCCAAGCUGUGAGGACGGCCAGGUGAAGGUAGGAGGAAGCAAGGCUCCUAUCUUUUUAAUCUCCCGGGGGAGGAGACAACAAUCAUACACCUGAAACAUGCAGAAAAUGAGGCAAGGGUUAAGAGGUGCACUGUUGAGAGCCAUGGAACCAGUUGACAUGACAUGCGUGUGAUGGUGUGUGCGGCUCUCUCUGUAAGCGGGCCUGACUAACCAGCCUUGGCUGAAGAAACAACUCAUCAGCUCUGGCAUGACUGUAAAAUCAGGACUUUAAAAUCUAGGCGGGCUCCACCAGCUACCUUUUUGUCAUUUUGUCUCAUUUUUGAGUAAAGUUCUCUUGUAGCCCAGGCUGGUCCAUAACUUGCUGUGUAGCUAAGGCUGAUCCUUUUUGAUCCUUCUGCCUUCACACCGGAGUCCUGGGGUUAUAAGUGUGCACCUCUACACCUGUUUUUGUUUUGUUUCCCUUCUGAUUCAUCCUUUCAUUGAUCGUUUCUCUC